GGCUGGUCUGAUGGUAGUCGGUUAUCAGAACUUAUUAACAUUAGUGUCACUAAAGUUGGUAUACAACCCCCCACUGCUAAAUUUGACUGGCUUAAA
rnacentral:Y_RNA from 1 species